rnacentral:tRNA from 1 species
GCCGUGAUAGCUCAUCCCGUGGAGCAUCUGCCCGGUAUGCGGAGGGUCGCCGGUUCAAUUCCGGCUCACGGCG